rnacentral:rRNA from 1 species
GACGGUACUUGAGGAAUAAGCCACGGCUAAUUCCGUGCCAGCAGCCGCGGUAAUACGGGAGUGGCAAGCGUUAUCCGGAAUUAUUGGGCGUAAAGCGUCCGCAGGCGGCCCUUCAAGUCUGCUGUUAAAACGUGGAGCUUAACUCCAUCAUGGCAGUGGAAACUGUUGGGCUUGAGUGUGGUAGGGGCAGAGGGAAUUCCCGGUGUAGCGGUGAAAUGCGUAGAUAUCGGGAAGAACACCAGUGGCGAAGGCGCUCUGCUGGGCCAUAACUGACGCUCAUGGACGAAAGCCAGGGGAGCGAAAGGGAUUAGAUACCCCUGUAGUCCUGGCCGUAAACGAUGAACACUAGGUGUCGGGGGAAUCGACCCCCUCGGUGUCGUAGCCAACGCGUUAAGUGUUCCGCCUGGGGAGUACGCACGCAAGUGUGAAACUCAAAGGAAUUGACGGGGGCCCGCACAAGCGGUGGAGUAUGUGGUUUAAUUCGAUGCAACGCGAAGAACCUUACCAGGGUUUGACAUCCUGCGAACCUCUUGGAAACGAGAGGGUGCCUUCGGGAACGCAGUGACAGGUGGUGCAUGGCUGUCGUCAGCUCGUGUCGUGAGAUGUUGGGUUAAGUCCCGCAACGAGCGCAACCCACGUCUUUAGUUGCCAGCAUUUAGUUGGGCACUCUAGAGAGACCGCCGGUGAUAAACCGGAGGAAGGUGUGGAUGACGUCAAGUCAUCAUGCCCCUUACAUCCUGGGCUACACACGUACUACAAUGCUACGGACAAAGAGCAGCAAGUUCGCGAGGACAAGCAAAUCUCAUAAACCGUGGCUCAGUUCAGAUCGUAGGCUGCAACUCGCCUACGUGAAGGAGGAAUCGCUAGUAAUCGCAGGUCAGCAUACUGCGGUGAAUACGUUCCCGGGCCUUGUACACACCGCCCGUCACACCAUGGAAGUUGGCCACGCCCGAAGCCGUUACUCCAACCCUUGUGAAGGAGGACGUCGAAGGUGGGGCUGAUGACUGGGGUG